rnacentral:rRNA from 1 species
UACGUAGGGUGCGAGCGUUGUCCGGAAUUAUUGGGCGUAAAGAGCUUGUAGGCGGUUUGUCGCGUCUGCCGUGAAAUUUCGAGGCUCAACCUCGAACUUGCGGUGGGUACGGGCAGACUAGAGUGUGGUAGGGGAGACUGGAAUUCCUGGUGUAGCGGUGAAAUGCGCAGAUAUCAGGAGGAACACCGGUGGCGAAGGCGGGUCUCUGGGCAGUAACUGACGCUGAGGAGCGAAAGCGUGGGGAGCGAACAGG